UGCAAGUCCAGCGAAUGGAUUAAGAGCUUGCUCUUAUGAAGUUAGCGGCGGACGGGUGAGUAACACGUGGGUAACCUGCCCAUAAGACUGGGAUAACUCCGGGAAACCGGGGCUAAUACCGGAUAACAUUUUGCGCUGCAUGGCGCGAAAUUGAAAGGCGGCUUCGGCUGUCACUUAUGGAUGGACCCGCGUCGCAUUAGCUAGUUGGUGAGGUAACGGCUCACCAAGGCAACGAUGCGUAGCCGACCUGAGAGGGUGAUCGGCCACACUGGGACUGAGACACGGCCCAGACUCCUACGGGAGGCAGCAGUAGGGAAUCUUCCGCAAUGGACGAAAGUCUGACGGAGCAACGCCGCGUGAGUGAUGAAGGCUUUCGGGUCGUAAAACUCUGUUGUUAGGGAAGAACAAGUGCUAGUUGAAUAAGCUGGCACCUUGACGGUACCUAACCAGAAAGCCACGGCUAACUACGUGCCAGCAGCCGCGGUAAUACGUAGGUGGCAAGCGUUAUCCGGAAUUAUUGGGCGUAAAGCGCGCGCAGGUGGUUUCUUAAGUCUGAUGUGAAAGCCCACGGCUCAACCGUGGAGGGUCAUUGGAAACUGGGAGACUUGAGUGCAGAAGAGGAAAGUGGAAUUCCAUGUGUAGCGGUGAAAUGCGUAGAGAUAUGGAGGAACACCAGUGGCGAAGGCGACUUUCUGGUCUGUAACUGACACUGAGGCGCGAAAGCGUGGGGAGCAAACAGGAUUAGAU
rnacentral:rRNA from 1 species